UACGUAGGGGGCAAGCGUUGUCCGGAAUUACUGGGCGUAAAGGGCGUGUAGGCGGCCUUUUAAGUUUCGUGUGAAAACCCCGUUUUCAAGGCGGGAGGUGCACGGGAUACUGGAGGGCUUGAGUGCAGGAGAGGGAAGUGGAAUUCCAAGUGUAGCGGUGAAAUGCGUAGAGAUUUGGAGGAACACCAGUGGCGAAGGCGACUUUCUGGACUGCAACUGACGCUGAGACGCGAAAGCGUGGGGAGCAAACAGGAUUAGAUACCCUGGUAGUCCACGCUGUAAACGAUGAAUGCUAGGUGUGGGAGGUAUCGACCCCUUCCGUGCCGCAGUUAACACAAUAAGCAUUCCGCCUGGGGAGUACGGCCGCAAGGUUGAA
rnacentral:rRNA from 1 species